rnacentral:rRNA from 1 species
GUGGGGAAUCUUGCGCAAUGGGCGAAAGCCUGACGCAGCCAUGCCGCGUGAAUGAUGAAGGUCUUAGGAUUGUAAAAUCCUUUCACCGGUGAAGAUAAUGACUGUAGCCGGAGAAGAAGCCCCGGCUAACUUCGUGCCAGCAGCCGCGGUAAUACGAAGGGGGCUAGCGUUGCUCGGAUUUACUGGGCGUAAAGGGCGCGUAGGCGGACAUUUAAGUCAGGGGUGAAAUCCCGGGGCUCAACCUCGGAACUGCCUUUGAUACUGGGUGUCUUGAGUAUGAGAGAGGUGUGUGGAACUCCGAGUGUAGAGGUGAAAUUCGUAGAUAUUCGGAAGAACACCAGUGGCGAAGGCGACACACUGGCUCAUUACUGACGCUGAGGCGCGAAAGCGUGGGGAGCAAACAGGAUUAGAAACCCCUGUAGUCC